AGAGAGUUGACAGAGUUGGUCGAUUGUACCGGUUUUGAAAACCGGCGAGGUUAACGCCUCCGAGGGUUCGAAUCCCUUGCUCUCUGCCA
rnacentral:tRNA from 1 species